AUGAUACACCUUGAGGCGUAUUAUUUGGUUAGUAUAUCUCAUGCAUCACUCUUGAACCAAAUUGCAAAUCUUAAGAGCCUCUAAUUUAAUGAAAAAGGAGGAGAAUAAUGUGUUAAAUUUUCUUGAGUAUCUCUUAGAAAAUCUAUUUUUUUUAAACUUCACUAAUGAGUUUUAAUUGGCUUACUCUUUAGAACUUCUAUUUUGUGCCAAUUCAUUAUUUUAUGUAUCAAAUUAUGCUUAUUUUCUAAAGGAAUAAAAGAAAGUAUUUAAAAGAGCUCAAAGAUGUAUCAAAAAUUGCACAAACUCAUAUUUUGGUAUUUGUGCCCCAAUGCUCUUAUUAUCAUAUAAGAACUUUGAAGUCAUUAAGAAUUAAUGAUCCAACAUGAUGAUAUAUUUUUCCAAAUAUAUAAGUUUUGAUCUUUUACUCUGAAAAUUAAUUAAAUUGCUCUCAUGUUGAUAAAAUACUUAAUAGAUUGGGCAAAAGGUCUUAAAUGAA
rnacentral:lncRNA from 1 species